AAGUUAGAAUGGCUAUAGAAUAUAAAGCACUAUCUAAGAGAAGUAUAAUGCAAGCCAUGUGUGUAAUUGAAAUUUUUCUAGUAGCUAUAUUAGAAAGGUAAAAAGAACGAGGUACAAUUUUAUUUUUAUUUUUUUAGACAGGAUCUCACUGGGUUGCAUAGGCUGGUCUCAAACUCCUGGACUCAGGCUCAAGUAAUACUUGCCUCAGCCUCACAAAAUUCUGGAAUUACAGGCACUAUUCUGAGUGUUGGAAGAUAUAGCAGUGGACAAAACUGAUAAAACAUCUCUGCCUUCAUGAAGACUAAUGAGGAGACAUGUGCCCAGUGACAAAGUUUAGGGUCAAGAACAGGGAUGUCUGGCCUCACUUUGGAUAAUCUGGACCUUUUCUGCUGCAAGCAUACCGCUAGAUAGAAAAGAGGAGCUGUGAAACAUCUCCACAUUUCCCUUCCCUAGUGGGAAGCUUAUUGUUUCAGAGUCAAGAACUUGGUUCCAGGCUACAAUCCCAUGGCUACCAUUCUCUAACUGUUACUUUGCACUUCUAAGAUGUGUUUUUUUAAAAUAUGAUUAAUAAUGGUG